rnacentral:tRNA from 1 species
GCGCGAGUGGCGAAAUGGCAGACGCGCUGGCUUCAGGUGUCAGUGUUCGCAAGGACGUGCGGGUUCAAGUCCCGCCUCGCGCACCA